UACGAACUGUGCGAACGUUAUUCGGAAUCACUGGGCUUACAGGGUGCGUAGGCGGCUUGUCCAGUAGGGUGUGAAAGCCCCCGGCUCAACCGGGGAAUGGCGCCCUAAACUGGCGAGCUAGAGUGAGAUAGGGGUGUGUGGAACUUCCGGUGGAGCGGUGAAAUGUGUUGAGAUCCACAGGAACUCCGGUGGCGAAGGCGGCACGCUGGACCCUCUCUGACGCUGAGGCGCGAAAGCCAGGGGAGCGAACGGG
rnacentral:rRNA from 1 species